AGCAAAGUGAUGUGGCUGGGAGCUGAUGGAGCUGAGCCAAGCAGAGCAGGCUGGGUCCAUAUUCCUUCCCCCAAAGCCUCUCCCCAAAAUGACAUGGGCCAGGGGAUUAGUGUGAGGCCUGUCGCUGGCAGCAGGGGGUUGGCUCACCCCUGCACUCAGUGGUGGCAGCAGUGUGACUCCAGUCCAGUCUGCCUGCUCCCAGCCACAUCUCUCUGCUUCUCACCACCAAUGAGCUUGGGGGUGGGGGUGAUCCAACCCCGUCCCCCAAGUGAUAUAGCUGGUAGUUGAGGAAGUGGAGGGGGCUAGAUUGCUCUGUUUCCCACUGCUGGAAAGGGCCUCAGCUUUUCUUAGGGAAGAGUGGCUAAGCCCACCUGCAGCCCAAAAAGAGACACAGCUUCUGAAAACCAAGGUCACUGUCCAGCAAGUACCAAGGUGCUGCUGUCAUCCCAUUGCAAGUUUUCCCAGGCAAUGCAAGAGUCACUGCACCUUUCUCCAGCCCCCCUGGAAGCACUGACCAUUAGGCUAUCUAAUCAGACAACUUAAUAAUAACAGGGAAACAUAACAGAGACAUGCCCAAGGGUUUGGAAGUAGAGAAGAAAAGUGGAAUAAGUAAAGUUCCAUUACAUAAACACUUCUAACUCAGAAAGACCAGAGAAAACUCCAUCUUUAAAUCUUGCCUUUGAUGUAUUAUCUACAACUUCUGUUAGACUACUGGUGUGCUAAGACUAUUGUGUAUCAUGCUCGCCAAUAUUGUCUCAUUGUUGGCUUGUAUUGCGUUUCUUUCUUUCCACCUGUUGUUGCUUGUACUACACUUAAAUGAUAA